rnacentral:rRNA from 1 species
AUUGAACGCUGGCGGCAGGCCUAACACAUGCAAGUCGAACGAGUGGCGGACGGGUGAGUAAUGUCUGGGAAACUGCCUGCUGGAGGGUGAUAACUACUGGAAACGGUAGCUCAUACCGCAUACCAUCGGAUGAUCCCAGAUGGGAUUAGCUAGUAGGUGGGGUAACGGCUCACCUAGUCGACGAUCCGUAGCUGGUCUGAGAGGAUGACGAGCCACACUGGAACUGAGACAGGGUCCGGCCUCCUACGGGAGGCAGAAGUGGGGAAUAUUGCACAAUGGGCGAAAGCCUGAGGCAGCCAUGCGGCGUGUAUGAAGAGGGCCUUCGUGUGGUAAAGUACUUUCAGCGGGGAGGCGUUACCCGCAGAAGAAGCACCGGCUAACUCCGUGCCAGCAGCCGCGGUAAUAC